rnacentral:rRNA from 1 species
GUUGGGUAGGGGAGCGUUCUGUAAGCCUGUGAAGGUGUGUCGUGAGGCAUGCUGGAGGUAUCAGAAGUGCGAAUGCUGACAUAAGUAACGAUAAAGCGGGUGAAAAGCCCGCUCGCCGGAAGACCAAGGGUUCCUGUCCAACGUUAAUCGGGGCAGGGUGAGUCGACCCCUAAGGCGAGGCCGAAAGGCGUAGUCGAUGGGAAACGGGUUAAUAUUCCCGUACUUGGUGUUACUGCGAAGGGGGGACGGAGAAGGCUAUGUUGGCCGGGCGACGGUUGUCCCGGUUUAAGCGUGUAGGUGUGUGUUCCAGGUAAAUCCGGUUCACUUUAACACUGAGGCGUGACGACGAGGCACUACGGUGCUGAAGCAACAAAUGCCCUGCUUCCAGGAAAAGCCUCUAAGCAUCAGGUAACAUCAAAUCGUACCCCAAACCGACACAGGUGGUCAGGUAGAGAAUACCAAGGCGCUUGAGAGAACUCGGGUGAAGGAACUAGGCAAAAUGGUGCCGUAACUUCGGGAGAAGGCACGCUGACAUGUAGGUGAAGUGAUUUACUCAUGGAGCUGAAGUCAGUCGAAGAUACCAGCUGGCUGCAACUGUUUAUUAAAAACACAGCACUGUGCAAACACGAAAGUGGACGUAUACGGUGUGACGCCUGCCCGGUGCCGGAAGGUUAAUUGAUGGGGUCAGCGCAAGCGAAGCUCCUGAUCGAAGCCCCGGUAAACGGCGGCCGUAACUAUAACGGUCCUAAGGUAGCGAAAUUCCUUGUCGGGUAAGUUCCGACCUGCACGAAUGGCGUAAUGAUGGCCAGGCUGUCUCCACCCGAGACUCAGUGAAAUUGAACUCGCUGUGAAGAUGCAGUGUACCCGCGGCAAGACGGAAAGACCCCGUGAACCUUUACUAUAGCUUGACACUGAACAUUGAGCCUUGAUGUGUAGGAUAGGUGGGAGGCUUUGAAGUGUGGACGCCAGUCUGCAUGGAGCCGACCUUGAAAUACCACCCUUUAAUGUUUGAUGUUCUAACGUGGACCCGUAAUCCGGGUUGCGGACAGUGUCUGGUGGGUAGUUUGACUGGGGCGGUCUCCUCCUAAAGAGUAACGGAGGAGCACGAAGGUUGGCUAAUCCUGGUCGGACAUCAGGAGGUUAGUGCAAUGGCAUAAGCCAGCUUGACUGCGAGCGUGACGGCGCGAGCAGGUGCGAAAGCAGGUCAUAGUGAUCCGGUGGUUCUGAAUGGAAGGGCCAUCGCUCAACGGAUAAAAGGUACUCCGGGGAUAACAGGCUGAUACCGCCCAAGAGUUCAUAUCGACGGCGGUGUUUGGCACCUCGAUGUCGGCUCAUCACAUCCUGGGGCUGAAGUAGGUCCCAAGGGUAUGGCUGUUCGCCAUUUAAAGUGGUACGCGAGCUGGGUUUAGAACGUCGUGAGACAGUUCGGUCCCUAUCUGCCGUGGGCGCUGGAGAACUGAGGGGGGCUGCUCCUAGUACGAGAGGACCGGAGUGGACGCAUCACUGGUGUUCGGGUUGUCAUGCCAAUGGCACUGCCCGGUAGCUAAAUGCGGAAGAGAUAAGUGCUGAAAGCAUCUAAGCACGAAACUUGCCCCGAGAUGAGUUCU